AGGUGUUUCCACACAAUUUUAGCACAUUCACUGUUUUGUUUUUUGGUGUAUGUGUACUUAAACAUGUAUGUGUGUAUGUCUCUAUGUGUUUCUAUGUCUUAGGAACUAACUAGCUUAUUCAAUGAAAUUUCAUUCAGAUUAAUGAAGAAAUUGAGGCGACAUUCAGGCAACAAAUACGGAAGAUGAAAGUGCUUUGACUACUCGAGAAUCGGAGCUGAUGAGAACUUCAUACAUACUACAAGUUGAAAUCGAUGCCUUCAUGAGAAUUUAUGGUAUUUAUGUUAGAGUAUAGAGGGGAAGAUGAAAGUGCUCUGACUACUCGAGAAUCGGAGCUGAUGAGAACUUCAUACAUACUACAAGUUGAAAUCGAUGCCUUCAUGAGAAUUUAUGGUAUUUAUGUUAGAGUAUAGAGGCUUUGCGUAGCACUAUAAUCUGUUUCUUCUUUCUAUGGUAAUGCUUUUUUUCCCCAGCUGUCAAAUUACUUGCUUUCAAGUAUCAUCUUGCAUCACUUUCUUUAUUUUAAUAGUUAGGCUUCAAGGCUCAGAGCUUCUGCUUGCUACCAACUGGUCAAAAGUUUCAACUCUCGAAAGUGUAGGUUUUAAGGCUUAAUUAAAGCUUCUGCGUGUUACCAAGUUUUCCCAUAGGUAUGUCUACAGUUCGCUUUACCUAAAAUUUAUGUUACAUAUGCUAUAUGCAAUUAGUUAUCUAUUAGGAUAUAAUAGAAGGACACUCAACUUCUGAUUUGGCUUUUUGAUUUAUCGUAAUCGUCAAAAAGCUUAUUCUUUUAGCUAAUAGUUAUUUCCUUAUUUGUGAUUCCUGAGUCUUUAGUGAUAAUCGUGCUGGUUAGAUAUCAGUUAUUUUGGAUAAAAACAAACACAUAAAACACAUACACAAAACUUUUUUUACGCUGUUUAAAUAUUGAUGAACCACUGAUUAAGAGUACAUGGGAGCAGUAAUAGUUUCGUUCUCUUUAUUUUCCCGAUGACUUAGUUUUUCCUAGC
rnacentral:lncRNA from 1 species